UCCUCCGUGGCGCAAUUGGCUAGCGCGUUCGACUGUUAUCAUCUGGGUCAACCCAGAGAAGCAAUCGAGAGGUUGACAGUUCAAGCCUGUCCGGGGGAA